GAGUUGUGGUCUUGGUCUAAUGGUUUGGGUGAAGAUUCUGUGGCAAAAUUUCCUAAGCUACGUGAGCUUCGAAUAGUAUAUUGUCCCAAGUUGGUUGGAAAAUUGCCAUCUUUCCUUCCUUCCUUGGAAAAAGUUGAUAUUUGUGAUUGCCAGCUGUUAGUUGAUUUACCAAAAGUACUUCCAUCUCUUCUAACACUCUCUAUCAGUAGAUGUCAAGAGAGUGUGCUCAGGAGUGUGUGUAAUGCCACCUCUCUCACUACCUUAAAAAUUGAAGGUGUGU
rnacentral:misc_RNA from 1 species